UUAAAUUGAAGAGUUUGAUCAUGGCUCAGAUUGAACGCUGGCGGCAGGCCUAACACAUGCAAGUCGAACGGUAACAGGAAACAGCUUGCUGUUUCGCUGA
rnacentral:rRNA from 3 species